AUGGCUCAGAGUGAACGCUGGCGGCGUGCCUAACACAUGCAAGUCGUGCGAGAAAGGGAGCAAUCCUGAGUAAAGCGGCGAACGGGUGAGUAACACGUGGUUAACCUGCCUGGAUGUGGGGGAUACCCCCGGGGAAACCCGGGACAAUACCGCAUGAUGUCUCUCGGGCGUCGGCCUGGGAGAGCAAAGCCGGGGACCGCAAGGCCUGGCGCAUCCAAAGGGGGACCGCGGCCGAUUAGCUAGUUGGCGGGUAAUGGCCCACCAAGGCAUCGAUCGGUAGCCGGCCUGAGAGGGUGAACGGCCACACCGGAACUGAGACACGGUCCGGACUCCUACGGGAGGCAGCAGUGGGGAAUUUUGGACAAUGGGCGCAGGCCUGAUCCAGCCAUGCCGCGUGAGUGAAGAAGGCCUUCGGGUUGUAAAGCUCUUUCGGUGGGGAAGAAAUUGCAUGGGCUAAUACCCUGUGUAGAUGACGGUACCUGGAGAAGAAGCACCGGCUAACUACGUG
rnacentral:rRNA from 1 species